CCGCUACUAUACUCGUCAAUCGCCGUCCUGGGGAGUCCUGAUAACGCGCGUAUAGUCGGAUAUCGACGCUACAGGGGUAGAAAAUAUAGCGCCUUUAGUCGCAUUUCGGCCCCAAGGAGUUAAGAAAAGAAAAUAAAAUCCCAUCGGGAGUGCAUUUCCAUCUAAUUGGGAUAGCCGAUAAAGAUUUUACUAAUGAUGACGGUUGGGAAAUGCAGAGGCUUUCGUCCAUAAUGAAAAAACUUGGACACUCACGUAAAACAAUCGAUAUUCUGAAGAUAGAUAUAGAAGGAUGGGAAUGGAAAGUUCUUCCGGACAUACUGCUGUCUCAACAGUUUGAGUGUGUAAAACAACUUGCCAUAGAAGUUCAUUUUGGACUACAGAUUAACAAGACAACUGGAUUUAAAACAUUCUCUCGAAAUAACUGGGGUUUUGUUUCAAAGAAUGAACAAUUAGAUGUGCUUAAAAACCUGCAGACGUUUGGCUUUAAGAUAUUCAAAAGAAAAUCAAACCCUGUGUCGAAGGUGUUUUUAAAAAGAUUUUGUAGAGAGAUAACAACUUGUAACGUUUUAUCGUUGAUAAAUCAUAAUUUUGAACCCAGUAAAUGUCAAAUUUCAAUAAGUCUGUGAUGUUAAGAAAAAACCUAUAUUGUGCAUGUUAUAGGAAUCAUACACUUAGAAACUAAUAAGAAAUAUGAAUUUCCCUGAUCACAAAACAGCACAUUAUUCAAACGGCCUCCACAAAUAUCAUAGCUCUUUUUCCCUCAAUAUUUCUUGACCUGACUAAAGAUAACCAUAUC